AACAGGCUUAUCUCCCCCAAGAGUCCACAUCGACGGGGAGGUUUGGCACCUCGAUGUCGGCUCAUCACAUCCUGGGGCUGUAGUAGGUCCCAAGGGUUGGGCUGUUCGCCCAUUAAAGUGGUACGCGAGCUGGGUUCAGAACGUCGUGAGACAGUUCGGUCCCUAUCCGUCGCAGGCGUAGGAAAGUUGAGAAGACCUGUCCUUAGUACGAGAGGACCGGGAUGGACGUACCUCUGGUGUACCAGUUGUCCUGCCAAGGGCAUGGCUGGGUAGCUAUGUACGGAAUGGAUAAGCGCUGAAAGCAUCUAAGCGCGAAGCCAACUUCAAGAUAAGAUUUCCCACCGCAAGGGUAAGACCCCAGAAAGACUAUCUGGUUG
rnacentral:rRNA from 1 species